rnacentral:rRNA from 1 species
GACGAACGCUGGCGGCGUGCUUAACACAUGCAAGUCGAACGCGCCUGUCCUCUGGGUUUCUGGGGGGUGGGUGAGUGGCGAACGGGUGAGUAACACGUGAGUAACCUCCCCCCUUCUUCGGGAUAACGGUCUGAAAGGGCUGCUAAUACCGGGUAUUCACUGGUCUCCGCAUGGGGUCUGGUGGAAAGGUUUUUUUCUGGUGGGGGAUGGGCUCGCGGCCUAUCAGCUUGUUGGUGGGGUGAUGGCCCACCAAGGCUUUGACGGGUAGCCGGCCUGAGAGGGUGACCGGUCACAUUGGGACUGAGAUACGGCCCAGACUCCUACGGGAGGCAGCAGUGGGGAAUAUUGCACAAUGGGCGCAAGCCUGAUGCAGCGACGCCGCGUGAGGGAUGGAGGCCUUCGGGUUGUGAACCUCUUUCGCCCGUGGUCAAGCCGCGACGUGGGUCGUGGUGAGGGUAGUGGGUAAAGAAGCGCCGGCUAACUACGUG